GUCUGUGGCCAUGCCACCCUGAACAAGCCCGAUCCCGUCUGAUCUCAGAAGCUAAGCAGGGUCGGGCCUGGUUAGUACUUGAAUGGGAGACCACCAGGGAAGACCAGGUGCUGUAGGUG
rnacentral:rRNA from 1 species